GAAGGGUGCAAGCGUUACUCGGAAUUACUGGGCGUAAAGCGUGCGUAGGUGGUUCGUUAAGUCUGAUGUGAAAGCCCUGGGCUCAACCUGGGAAUGGCAUCGGAUACUGGCGACCUAGAGUGCGGUAGAGGGGUGUGGAAUUCCCGGUGUAGCAGUGAAAUGCGUAGAUAUCGGGAGGAACAUCUGUAGCGAAGGCGACACCCUGGACCAGCACUGACACUGAGGCACGAAAGCGUGGGGAGCAAACAGGAUUAGAUACCCUGGUAGUCCACGCCCUAAGCGAUGCGAACUGGAUGUUGGGUGCAACUUGGCACUCAGUAUCGAAGCUAACGCGUUAAGUUCGCCACCUGGGAAGUACGGUCGCAAGACUG
rnacentral:rRNA from 1 species